rnacentral:rRNA from 1 species
GGUAGUCCACGCCGUAAACGAUGAUAACUAGCUGCCGGGGCACAUGGUGUUUCGGUGGCGCAGCUAACGCAUUAAGUUAUCCGCCUGGGGAGUACGGUCGCAAGAUUAAAACUCAAAGGAAUUGACGGGGGCCUGCACAAGCGGUGGAGCAUGUGGUUUAAUUCGAAGCAACGCGCAGAACCUUACCAACGUUUGACAUCCUCAUCGCGAUUUCCAGAGAUGGAUUUCUUCAGUUCGGCUGGAUGAGUGACAGGUGCUGCAUGGCUGUCGUCAGCUCGUGUCGUGAGAUGCUGGGUUAAGUCCCGCAACGAGCGCAACCCUCGCCUUUAGUUGCCAGCAUUUAGUUGGGUACUCUAAAGGAACCGCCGGUGAUAAGCCGGAGGAAGGUGGGGAUGACGUCAAGUCCUCAUGGCCCUUACGCGUUGGGCUACACACGUGCUACAAUGGCGACUACAGUGGGCAGCGACCUCGCGAGGGGAAGCUAAUCUCCAAAAGUCGUCUCAGUUCGGAUCGUUCUCUGCAACUCGAGAGCGUGAAGGCGGAAUCGCUAGUAAUCGCGGAUCAGCAUGCCGCGGUGAAUACGUUCCCAGGCCUUGUACACACCGCCCGUCACACCAUGGGAGUUGGAUUCACUCGAAGGCGUUGAGCUAACCGCAAGGAGGCAGGCGACCACAGUGGGUUUAGCGACUGGGGUGAAGUCGUAACAAGGUAGCCGUAGGGGAACCUGC